GUUUUUGUGUAGAUACAUACAUACAUGUAUUGACAGAAGAAAGAGAGCACAACUGAACAUCCCCAGGGAAAUGGCCUGUGUUUCUUCAGCCUUUUGUGCUCUCUUCUUCUUCUGUCAAUAACUGCUGUAAAUUCAUACCAAAUAC
rnacentral:pre_miRNA from 1 species